UACGUAGGGGGCGAGCGUUGUCCGGAUUUAUUGGGCGUAAAGAGCGUGUAGGCGGCCAGGUAGGUCUGCUGUGAAAACUCGAGGCUCAACCUCGAGACGUCGGCGGAAACCAUCUGGCUAGAGUCCGGAAGAGGAGAGUGGAAUUCCUGGUGUAGCGGUGAAUGCGCAGAUAUCAGGAAGAACACCCGUGGCGAAGGCGGCUCUCUGGGACGGUACUGACGCUGAGACGCGAAAGCGUGGGAGCGAACAGGAUAGAAACCUUG
rnacentral:rRNA from 1 species